rnacentral:lncRNA from 1 species
AGGGGAGCAAAACAUCAACUACUGGUGGAUAAAGCGGUCGCUCGAGACUGUAAGACCAGGCAGACCAACCUGUGCACCGCCUGGAUUGACUACAAGAAAGCCUACGACUCAAUGCCUCACACAUGGAUCCUGGAAUGCCUGGAGCUGUACAACAUCAAUAGGACCCUAAGAACCUUCAUAAGGAACUCAAUGGGACUGUGGAAAACAACCCUAGUAGCCAACCUCAAGCCGAUAGCACAAGUCUCCAUCAAGUGCGGCAUCUACCAAGGAGAUGCUCUGUCCCCGCUGCUGUUCUGCAUAGGCCUGAACCCCCUCAGCCAGAUCAUCACUAAGACUGGCUUCGGAUACCGACUGCGAAAUGGGGGAACCAUCAGCCACCUCCUGUACAUGGAUGACAUCAAGCUGUAUGCCAGGACCGAGCGAGACAUCGACUCACUGAUCCACACCACCAGGAUAUACAGCAACGACAUUGGAAAGUCAUUCGGACUGGACAAGUGUGGCCGAAUGAUAACGAAGAGAGGGAAGGUUGUCAGGACUGAAGGAGUUGAACUCCCAGAAGGCGGCAGCAUAGCGGAUGUUGAGGGGAGCUACAAGUACCUUGGAAUCCCACAGGCAAAUGGGAACCAAGAAGAAGCCGCAAGGAAAGCAGCCACAGCCAAAUACCUACAGAGAAUAAGGCAAGUCCUCAGAAGUCAGCUAAAUGGGAAGAACAAGGUCCAAGCCAUCAACACCUACGCCCUGCUGGUCAUCAGAUACCCCGCUGGCAUAAUAAGCUGGCCAAAAGAGGACAUAGAAGCCACUGAUGUCAAGACAAGGAAGCUCUUCACAAUGCAUGGAGGACUUCACCCCAAAUCCAGCAUCCUGAGACUGUACGCUAAGAGGAAGGAAGGAGCGUCAGAGCCACCAUCCAAGAUGAAACAGCCAAGAUCCAUGAGUACAUCAGGAAGAUGGCACCAAGCGAUGGAAUACUUAGUGAAUAUCUCAGGCAACAGAAGCCCGAUGCAGAGGAAGAAGAGCGAGAACCAUCAUGGCAGGACAAACCCCUGCACGGCAUGUACCACCGACAGAUACAAGAAGUGACUGAUAUCGAAAAGUCCUACCGGUGGCUGGAAAAAGCUGGACUGAAAGACAGCACAGAGGCACUGAUCGUAGCGGCACAAGAACAGGCCCUGAGCACAAGAUUGAUAGAGGCCGGGGUCUACCACACCAGGCAGGACCCCAGGUGCAGGCUGUGCAAAGAUGCUCCUGAGACAAUCCAGCACAUAACAGCAGGUUGUAAGAUGCCAGCAGGCAGAGCGUACAUGGAACGCCAUAACUAAGUGGCCGGCAUAGUGUACAGGAACAUCUGUGCCGAGUAUGGGCUGGAGGUCCCAAGGUCAAAAUGGGACACACCUCCAAAGGUGAGGGAGAAUGACCGAGCUAAGGUCCUGUGGGACUUCCAGAUACAGACCGACAAACAGG